CUUGUCAUAUUGUGACAAACCGCCCAAUCAACGAGGCGAAAUAUCAAUACAUGUUUUUGUUAUGACUGUAUAUAUUCGAUUAAAACGUGUUAUUUGUGAUCGGGGUUUUUUAUUUAUUUUUUUUGUACAGAACUGUGUCGUUAUGCGAAGAAAAAGUGCAGUAAAUGGCGGCCCUCGCAACCAGGUUGGUUUCCAUGACGGCGGUCGUGACGUCUAAGAAUCAACACUCGACUUCAGAGUACUCGGUUCAACUUUUUGCAGUCAGCCAUGCUGCCGGAGCAACAGGAACAAGAAUCUCUCUCAACUCAAUUCAACUGUAUGUAUAUGGCACUUUCAAACAGCCAUCGCUGCAUACAAAGUGCUGUACAUGGAGCAACAAUAAAGCAAUAAAUCAGUAACAAAUAUGGUAGAAAACUAAGAUCAAUUCUGAAUCAUGCUGAGUCAAAUGCCAAGGAAUACAAGUGAGUUUUGAGGCGGGUUUUGAAGAUGGGCAAUGAGGGGGCUUGUUGAAUGUUCAGUGGGAGGUCAUUCCAGAGAGUGACUCUCAUUCAAGAAUUAGUUCGGUUACUAGUUUCCAAUUUCAUACCUGUCAACUUUUCGGAGCGCCAACCUGUAUAAACUACCAAAAAAAAGCACCAAAAAAAAUCCUUAUAACAUACCAAAGCAUUUUAUAUGUCAAAAACCCCACAAAAUUUUCAAUGAUUUUUAUUAUAGAUCUCCAUAAUACAAUGUCUGGUGAAUGUCUAAUCAUCAUUCUACUUAGUGGCAUUACUGUGUUCAGAGUUGUAUUUCUGUGUUACUUUUUUCACCAACUCCAAAUCUUGAAAACACAGAAAAAAAUAGCCAUUCAGCACUCAGGGUUCAACUCGGAACCACAUGUUUACUGGAAAGUUACCGGAAAUUAAAGCAUUCGAGUAGACUCGCACCAUUCUGGGCAAAAGCAAACGGAACUACCUGUUUGGGUGUUGAAUUCACCUGGCGCUUUAAGAGGGGCGGGGCUGCCACUGACAGGUGACGUUCGCGCGGCGUAUAAAAAGCAGCAUCGAAUUGUUACACUCGUGAAUACACUCGCUUCGCCGUCGGCAUGGCCCAGUGGUAAGUGUUGGGUGACAAUGUAUGCCACUGGUAUUAUAAUGUUUGGUGCUAUUUUGUGUGGAGGGAUACCGUGUUAUGGAGUGUAUAUAAAUAAAGGGGGUGGCGCUUCCCUGCAGUUCGCUUCUGGCAGUGACGAUGCAUUGAGGCACGUUGGGUGUUCAGCGACUCAGUGGUAGCGACCACAGAAAAAUACGAAACGUCUCCAGUCUUUUGCCUAGAACAUCGUGUAGUCACCAGCAAUGAUGCCUACACAUGAACCGCGAGAGACUUCCGCAGUAGUAGGUUCAACAGUAAGCUACGCGUGUGCUUUUCUUUACCAGAUAUGAAAAGUUAGCUUUUAGAUUCGAUCAUGAUCGUCUGUUAUGUUAGUCUGCCUUGCAUUGUGUCCGUGGUGCUUUAUGUUGGCCCGCAUCGCUAUGCAAUCACAGUCAGUUACCGUUCGCAAUCGGCAAUUUGCAAAUUGCGUUGCAGCUGGGCUUAAUCAUGCCGGCGCUCCACUUCCGGGUUGGACCUUUGGGACUUGUAGUUCUUUUGUUCGAGUCGACUUGAUAUGUUU